GAAAAAUGGACUAUUUCAGAACCUAGAACGGAGCCAAAGAGCUCAAGUCCAAGGACAAUCAAGCAAAACAUGCAGUGCGUGAGAGGCUAAAGUAUAAAUGGGUAUGAAAAUAUAAAAAAUAAAUAUGGGGUUGCUUGAACUAGAGGAACUAAUUUAUUUAUUGCUUAAAAAUAUAGUGACUAAGUUAUAAUUUACUCGAACUAUAAGAUUGACAAAUCUUCUAAGCGAAACAAGAAACAGUAAUUGAAUUGGCAGCUCGAAAAUCUUUGAUGAACAAGAAAAGAGAUGAUAACAAGGUCGAAACUGGUGGAGCAAUUGUGUGUGUGUGUGUGUGAGAGAGAGAGAGAGAGAGAGAGAGAGAGAGAGGGAGUGCCAGAUCCGAUCCCAACACAAGCGUUCUUCUCUCACCAUCUUUUCUCCUAAACCCCCAUCUCGUCCUGGGCUCUGGGGCAAGCCAUUAGAUAAAUACUAGGCAAAAGUUGAUCCAGUUACAUGCUGUGAUAAAAAAUUGUUGAGCCAUACAACUCCAGUCCAAACGAAAUUACAAUGAAACAAAACCUGAUAAUCAUUGGCUUUGUAAGAGGCAACCAGAUUCUUCUUCAGGGGCUGAUGUCACUGUAGCAAUCUUUUGGGCCUUAACAUUAAGCAUGCUUGUCAUAUCAUCUUACAAGGCACUUUAUUUCCGACAUUUCUGGCUUUUGUUUCUCAUAAUAUGUCUUGCAAUUUUUCUUCCCGUACAUCUGAGAAGUUCAAGGGCCCAGAAUAGGGAGAGAAGAUUUUUAUUGCCUUUGUCCACGUGAACAUGCUAUGGCAUUGAAGCAUUUCAACCAUAGAGCUUUGUAAUUGGAACUUAUCGUUCACAUUUGAUUCCUGUGGCUUAUUGGAAAAAAUUAUAAAACUUGGAGCACUGAUCUUGGUCAACCCAGAUUUGUCCUGCCCUCUCAGAUAGAUGGGGCUGCGCUAAGGGCAAGUGAUGCUGUGUGAUGCAAUGUAUGAUGGAUUCUAGCCAUCCAUGUGAAUCACACAAAUACAAGUGAAGAUUUGCAUGCAUGGUUCUGUCUUGGCAGAAUCCUGGAUGCAAGAAAAUAUCAACUUCGCAUUAAACUACCAUUUGUCGGUGGGUGAUUGCUGUCUUAAUGCGACACGGCCGAAAGCCGAAAGGAAAGGGAGCCCUACUGGGUUUUUUCACAGCCACAUAAAAAUGGCUAGAUUUGUUCCGUUCUUGUAUGUUCAAAGUUAAAACUUUAGAUGUUUCGCUUUCGAUGUUCAGGAAAGCUUUUAGUACACUGGAAAGUGAGACGUCGGAGUAUUUUAUCACUCUGUAAACCGUUCACUGUCCUGGAAGGCCACACUAGAAUAUUUGCUUGCCCUUGGGCAGGGCUGCCCUUGUUUGACUUCUCUUGCCUGCCGCAUUUUUUAGGCCUGUGUUUUCUUGGUUCUUGCGAGUUGCUAAAGGAAAAGCUGCCAUUUUGGACCACUAGAAGGUAAGGUAGCAAGCACCACGUGAUUCUCAAGCCACCACCAAACCAGCGGGAUGGACGUUGCUUUUAUUAUUAUUGAACCUCCCAAGAAAAUGUCGUCCAGCCAUUAUUGUUGUUUUUCACUUGCUACUUGUAUCACCGCGACAUGAGCUUAUAGGGAGGUUCUUCAACCGCCUGUGGCCACCUGACUGGCGCAAGCAGCCGUUACGUGCAUGUCCUGACUGUUCCAUCUAAAACCACAAGUGGUGUUAUACAUGCCGAUCUGCUAGCGUAUACAGGCAACGUCUGGUCUAGAUGGAAUAGCUGUGACAGAUGCAAUUACUCCCUGCAAACCUUUUGGUCAUUAAUUUACCACACAAUUCAUAAAGGUUUCACGUU